AGGUGCCAUGCAUCAGGCUGAACUAAGCAGAAUGACGAGUUUGUGGCUUUAAGAGAGUUUGCUGAAUCUGACUUGGAACACUCAAACGGACAAGAGUAAGAGGUUCAACAUGAUGACUGACAUUUUUAUUGCCAAACAGUUCUGGACUGGUUAACUCUACACUUCUUUAAUCUAAAUCACUGCCUGUUUGACAUGGUGAAAAUAAGUUGACAGAACUGGGGAUAACAGAAAAAGACCAGUAGCUACCUGCAAACAAUUUGUCACCACAUACUAAAAGAGUUAAAUACUUUUUGAUGGUCUUCAGUAAGAGGAGCUGGGAUUUUAAUGAAGGGGAAGCCAGACAGCUAGAAGAGGAUUUCACAGAGAAAGGGAUCGAGGGGGACAGCCAGGACAUUAUUCAUGUCUUUCAGUUCAUUUGGCUCUGCUGGUCAGCUCCCAAGACAGAAAGAGAAACCUUCUCUCAUGUUUUUCCACCCUCCUCUAUUUUCUGCCGUUUUUUGUUCCCUUCCUUUUUUUUUUUUAUUUUGGAGGCAGAUUAGCAGGAUUAAGUAUGGCUCACAUAUGCUCCUCCUCACUAUUGGUAUUCACCACUGCACUGGGCCUAACGCCACCCAGACUGAUGGACAGAAACAGAGAGAGAAUUAAAAAGAUGGGGACGAUCUUGAUGAAGAGCAUAGAUGGAUAGGAGUCAAAGUUGCAAGAUGAGCGAACAUGUUACCAACACCACUGUUCACAUACCUUGUUUUUAGGUUUCAGUUUGGCUGUUUUCCCUCAGUUUGGUUGUCAAAUAAUUUGAAAACUGAAUAGAGCAUCCAAGGAACUCUCUUUACUAUUUGAACAUUACUGUUUUGCCCCUGUUCAAAAACCUGAGAUCAUAAAUGAAGGGUUUUCCCAGUUUUGGUAAGAAAAAGACUUAACUGCCACUCACAAAGCCCUUUGAGAUGAACUGGAGUGCAGGCUGCAAAACAGACCUUAUCACAGCAUCAGUGUUACCAAAGCACUUGUGGCUGAAUGAGCGCAAAUCCUCAGCCAGGUUUAGAAAUCUGGUGCAAAGAAUGAAACCAGAAGAGCGGAGGCUGUUAAAGAAA